rnacentral:rRNA from 1 species
UACGUAGGCAGCGAGCGUUGUUCGGAGUUACUGGGCGUAAAGGGCGUGUAGGCGGUCGGUCAAGUCUGGUGUGAAAGCCCGGGGCUCAGCUCCGGAAGUGCAUCGGAAACUAGCUGGCUGGAGCGCGAUAGAGGAGGGCGGAAUUCCUGGUGUAGCGGUGAAAUGCGUAGAUAUCAGGAGGAACACCGGCGGCGAAGGCGGCCCUCUGGAUCGUUGCUGACGCUGAGACGCGAAAGCGUGGGGAGCAAACAGG